rnacentral:pre_miRNA from 1 species
AGUGGGAUAGCUGGGUCAAAUGGUGGUUUCAUUCCUAGUUUUCCAAGGAAUCUCCAUACUGCUUUCCAUAUUGGCAACACCAAUUUGAAGUCCCAGGAGCAAU